CCCCUUCCAAUCCCCCUCGCCCGCCCCUAUAUUCGCUGUGCCGGCUUGCCGGCUAUGGCGAUAAACUGCCGAUGAAAUAAGCCGUUCGGACCCGGGGGCGGUACCCGGCGCCUCCACCACAAGCCGCCGUCAUGCAUGGCGGUUUCUGCUGGGGGCGAAAUAGGAUCGACGAAGGUGUAAAGAUCGGACUUUUGCCCGGCAUGAUACCGCCGUUAUCGGGUCAAACCUAUAGUUGCCAACGACAACUAUGCUGAGGCACGUCUCGCUGCGUAAGCAGUGCGAUAGUCUCGAAUAAAGCCCUGUGGGUUAGCACCUUCAGGCGGGGUUCGGAGGUACCUGGCAACAGAAACCUCCACC
rnacentral:tmRNA from 1 species